CCAGGGCUUGACAUAAUAGUGAAUAUAGUAGAGAUACUAUAGUCCUUCGGGACGCUAUUACAGGUGGUGCAUGGUUGUCGUCAGCUCGUGUCGUGAGAUGUUGGGUUAAGUCCCGCAACGAGCGCAACCCCUGCUGUUAGUUGGUACCAUUUAGUUGACCACUCUAACGGGACUGCCGGUGACAAAUCGGAGGAAGGUGGGGACGACGUCCCAUCAUCAUGCCCCUUAUGUCCUGGGCUACACACGUACUACAAUGGCUAAUACAGAGGGAAGCAAGACCGUAAGGUGGAGCAAAUCCCUA
rnacentral:rRNA from 1 species